rnacentral:miRNA from 1 species
ACCCACUCCACUCCUCCUCCUCCUC